AAUGAAUGUUUUAAUUAAAUAAUUUAAAUUUUUUGUGAUUGCACAAUAAGUCUUCUAAACGAAGAAAUGUUGAAGACGUACUGUUUGAAAUUAAAAAAAAGUGUAAAUGGGCCUCGACUAAAGAUACCAGGAGGUUGAAUACUACAACAACGAACAGGAGAAGAUGUGUACCUAUAUGAUGUACCAGAGCACUGGAAUGAUUACAAGCAGGCUGCCACAUAUAGCAUGCAGAGUUAAAUUACCCUUCAUAUUUGGGAGUGAGAUGCUAAACAUACCAAAUAGCAAUCAUUGCACUCUAACAAGAGUAUCCUUAACCCUUUCAGUUCACCUCAAUAUGGAUACGUACAGGUUUUCUCGUAUUCAUAAGUUAAUAUUAAAUGUCUUUCCAAGAAAAUUGCUUACCAAGUGAGUACCAAGAACUACUUCCUCAACCCAUAGAAGAAAUUGGUCAGACUAAUUGAUGUACUAAGACACUAAAAUUAUUGGCAUACUGCUAAGAUUACAGAAUUAAUUUCUUUUCGCACCACAAAGCACCAGGACUUCUAAAUAACUGCCAGGAGGAUAUGCAUAUUUAAAGGUUUUUAUCCUAUUAUUGUUAAUUUAAUCUUAUUAUUAGUUAUGAACAUUUAUUCUUUUAUUAAUAUAAC